UACGUAGGGUGCGAGCGUUGUCCGGAAUUAUUGGGCGUAAAGAGCUCGUAGGCGGCCUGUCGCGCGGAUGUGAAAAUCCAAGGCUCAACCUUGGACCUGCAUUCGAUACGGGCAGGCUAGAGUUCGGUAGGGGAGACUGGAAUUCCUGGUGUAGCGGUGAAAUGCGUAGAGAUGUGGAGGAACACCAAUGGCGAAGGCAGCCUUCUGGGCCAACACUGACGCUCAUGCACGAAAGCGUGGGGAGCAAACAGG
rnacentral:rRNA from 1 species